CACUCACUCUCUCUCUCUCUCUCUCGACAAUAAUAAUAAUAAUAAUAAUAAUAAAAAUAUGAACCGAGGUUUUCAUCGUGUACCCACCCACUUGUACCUACGACGAGUCGACGACGACGGAAAAAUAAAAAAAAAAUAAUAAUAAUAAUAAUAAUUGUAACGUCAAAUAGGUGUACACUACAGUGUAGUAACACUACACGGUACACGCACCACACACACACACAUACGUACGUACGUACGUACUAUAAACGCAGCAAUACGUACGUGCACGCAAAAGUACACGCGCACGCGAGUGUUUUUGUUGUCCUUUGACCGAAUCGUACGCGUCGUCCAAAUUACGCGGUAAAAUACGCCAACAGAUAAAUCGUGACGACGGCAGGCCCGCGCAUAGACAACGGUCGUGCGUAAACACCAUUACACUUCGUUGUUUUUUUUUUUUUUUUCGUCCUCCCCCCCCCCGGAAAUUCAUGGAUAAGUGUGUAUUAUUAUUAUUAUUAUUAUAAUAUACAGUGUACCAUUUAUAAUAUAUUAUAUUAUUAUAAUUAUAUCGCGAGUCGACACAAUCACUGCGGUACGCCGACGCUGCCGCCUUUGCCGUCGUCGCGUUCGCGAACACCACCACCGGCCGUCGGCCGAUUUAUUCUUUUUUCGGCUCUUCGUCCGCCGCCGUGUACGCACAACUACCGCGCAAUAACAAUAUCGUAGUUCUGCCAGUUAUCCCUCGACAACGGCCCGCUGAAACGCCCGAAAGGCCGAAUCCUAGUGGCGCCCCUCCAAGUUUCUGUUGCCCGCCUACCCGUCAAUCCGCCGCCGUCACCGUUUGUACACGAGAGCCUGACAACUCGACGCCGCGGUCGUCCACACGGUGUCGCGCGCCUUCGCCAGUACUCGGUUGCGUAAAAGGUCGAAUUCGGUAUGGUGACGGUUACCGCCACUGCCGUCGCUUCAGUAGUAAGUGGUUGUCGCCGCC